AUUGAACGCUGGCGGCAGGCCUAACACAUGCAAGUCGAGCGGAUGACGGGAGCUUGCUCCUUGAUUCAGCGGCGGACGGGUGAGUAAUGCCUAGGAAUCUGCCUGGUAGUGGGGGACAACGUUUCGAAAGGAACGCUAAUACCGCAUACGUCCUACGGGAGAAAGCAGGGGACCUUCGGGCCUUGCGCUAUCAGAUGAGCCUAGGUCGGAUUAGCUAGUUGGUGGGGUAAUGGCUCACCAAGGCGACGAUCCGUAACUGGUCUGAGAGGAUGAUCAGUCACACUGGAACUGAGACACGGUCCAGACUCCUACGGGAGGCAGCAGUGGGGAAUAUUGGACAAUGGGCGAAAGCCUGAUCCAGCCAUGCCGCGUGUGUGAAGGAGGUCUUCGGAUUGUAAAGCACUUUAAGUUGGGAGGAAGGGCAGUAAGCUAAUACCUUGCUGUUUUGACGUUACCGACAGAAUAAGCACCGGCUAACUCUGUGCCAGCAGCCGCGGUAAUACAGAGGGUGCAAGCGUUAAUCGGAAUUACUGGGCGUAAAGCGCGCGUAGGUGGUUUGUUAAGUUGGAUGUGAAAGCCCCGGGCUCAACCUGGGAACUGCAUCCAAAACUGGCAAGCUAGAGUACGGUAGAGGGUGGUGGAAUUUCCUGUGUAGCGGUGAAAUGCGUAGAUAUAGGAAGGAACACCAGUGGCGAAAGCGACCACCUGGACUGAUACUGACACUGAGGUGCGAAAGCGUGGGGAGCAAAC
rnacentral:rRNA from 1 species